GCUUCUCAAGAUCAGAUAGCCCAAAAUAUUGUCUUGCUUUAUCAAUCAAAACUGGAUCAAUCUCCCAGCCUUCAAGCUGUAAUGAAGGCCACAAGUCAAGCAUCAAAUGUGCAGCAGUACCACCACCCAGGCCCAAGAUUGCAAUAGGACCUUUUGGUAUGACAGCUGGUAGACUAGCAAAUUCAUCCCAAUACGACCCAGUCCAUUUCUGACCCUUAUUAAGAAUGCUAUGAACAUUAUGAGUAGAAUCAAGGAGCAACAUCCUGGCUUUAGGCGUGUCCACGAUUAUGAUGUCAU
rnacentral:misc_RNA from 1 species